GAUGAACGCUGGCGGCGUGCCUAAUACAUGCAAGUCGAGCGAACAGACGAGGAGCUUGCUCCUCUGACGUUAGCGGCGGACGGGUGAGUAACACGUGGAUAACCUACCUAUAAGACUGGGAUAACUUCGGGAAACCGGAGCUAAUACCGGAUAAUAUAUUGAACCGCAUGGUUCAAUAGUGAAAGACGGUUUUGCUGUCACUUAUAGAUGGAUCCGCGCCGCAUUAGCUAGUUGGUAAGGUAACGGCUUACCAAGGCAACGAUGCGUAGCCGACCUGAGAGGGGGAUCGGCAACCCGGGAACGGAGCAGCGGUCCAGACUCCUGCGGGAGGCAGAAGGGGGGAACCUUCCGCAAGGGCCGAAGGUGGGACGAAGCAGGGCCGGGGGAGUGAUGAGGGUCUUCGUACCAAAAACCUGGUUUAUUGGGAAAGAACAAGUGUGGAGGAAAAAAGGCGCGUCUGGACGGAAGCAAAUCAGAAAACGCCGCCAAACUAGGUG
rnacentral:rRNA from 1 species